AUUGAACGCUGGCGGCAGGCUUAACACAUGCAAGUCGAACGAGUGGCGGACGGGUGAGUAAUGCUUGGGCUUCUAGCUUAUGGAGGGGGAUCACUACGGGAAACUGUAGCUAAUACCGCGUACCAUAGGCUGAGCCCAAGUGGGAUUAGGUAGUUGGUGAGGUAAAGGCUCACCAGGCCGGCGAUCUCUAGCUGGUCUGGGAGGAUGACCGGCCGCCCGGGGGCGUGGACGGGGCCCAGGCUCCGACGGGAGGCAGCAGUGGGGAAUAUGGCGCAAUGGGGGCAACCUGACGCAGCCAGGCCGCGUGAAUGAAGAAGGCCUUGGGGUUGUAAAGUUCUUUCGGUAGCGAGGCGUUAGCUACAGAAGAAGCACCGGCUAACUCCGUGCCAGCCGCCGCGGUAAUAC
rnacentral:rRNA from 1 species